GAUGAACGCUGACAGAAUGCUUAACACAUGCAAGUCGACUCGAGUCUUUGGACUUGGGUGGCGGACGGGUGAGUAACGCGUAAAGAACUUGCCUCAUAGUCUGGGACAACAUUUGGAAACGGAUGCUAAUACCGGAUAUUAUGCUUUCUUCGCAUGGAGGAAGUAUGAAAGCUAUAUGCGCUAUGAGAGAGCUUUGCGUCCCAUUAGCUAGUUGGUGAGGUAACGGCCCACCAAGGCGAUGAUGGGUAGCCGGCCUGAGAGGGUGAACGGCCACAAGGGGACUGAGACACGGCCCUUACUCCUACGGGAGGCAGCAGUGGGGAAUAUUGGACAAUGGACCAAAAGUCUGAUCCAGCAAUUCUGUGUGCACGAUGACGUUUUUCGGAAUGUAAAGUGCUUUCAGUCGGGAAGAAGCAAGUGACGGUACCGACAGAAGAAGCGACGGCUAAAUACGUGUCAGCAGCCGCGGUAAUACGUAUGUCGCAAGCGUUAUCCGGAUUUAUUGGGCGUAAAGCGCGUCUAGGCGGCAAGGAAAGUCUGAUGUGAAAAUGCGGGGCUCAACUCCGUAUUGCGUUGGAAACUGCCUUACUAGAGUACUGGAGAGGUAGGCGGAACUACAAGUGUAGAGGUGAAAUUCGUAGAUAUUUGUAGGAAUGCCGAUGGGGAAGCCAGCCUACUGGACAGAUACUGACGCUAAAGCGCGAAAGCGUGGGUAGCAAACAGG
rnacentral:rRNA from 1 species